GACGAACGCUGGCGGCGUGCUUAACACAUGCAAGUCGAACGGAAAGGCCCCUUUGUGGGUACUCGAGUGGCGAACGGGUGAGUAACACGUGAGUAACCUGCCCUUGACUUCGGGAUAACUUCAGGAAACUGGGGCUAAUACUGGAUAGGAAUCCUUGCUUCAUGGUGGGGGUUGGAAAGCUUCGGCGGUUUUGGAUGGACUCGCGGCUUAUCAGCUUGUUUGUGGGGUAGUGGCUUACCAAGGCUUUGACGGGUAGCCGGCCUCAGAGGGCGACCGGCCACAUUGGGACUGAGAUACGGCGCAGACUCCUACGGGAGGCAGCAGUGGGGAAUAUUGCACAAUGGGCGGAAGCCUGAUGAAGCAACGCCGCGUGCGGGAUGACGGCCUUCGGGUUGUAAACCGCUUUCAGCAGGGGCGAAGCUUGUGGUGACGGUACCUGCAGAAGAAGCACCGGCUAACUACGUG
rnacentral:rRNA from 1 species